CGUGGAGACAGGUGGUGCAUGGCUGUCGUCAGCUCGUGUCGUGAGAUGUUGGGUUAAGUCCCGCAACGAGCGCAACCCUCACCCCUUGUUGCCAUCAGGUCACGCUGGGCACUCUAGGGGAACUGCCCCGGUCAACGGGGAGGAAGGUGGGGACGACGUCAAGUCAUCAUGCCCCUUACGCCCUGGGCUACACACGUGCUACAAUGGCCGGUACAAAGGGAUGCAAGACCGUGAGGUGGAGCUAAACCCAAAAAGCCGGUCUAAGUUCAGAUUGGAGUCUGCAACUCGACUCCAUGAAGGAGGAAUCGCUAGUAAUCGCGCAUCAGCACGGCGCGGUGAAUACGUUCCCGGGCCUUGUACACACCGCCCGUCACACCACGAAAGUCUGCUGUACUCGAAGUCGCUGAG
rnacentral:rRNA from 1 species